ACGCAUUAAACCAGACAAUAACCUCUUUAGAAAAAACUCCAUCGUUCACCUAGAAUCACCGACGCUGUUGAAACUACGAAAUACACCACCAAUUAGUUAGAAACUUAAGAAAAUAGAUCGAAUUGUGAGAUCAUGGACAUAAGUAGGUAGACGAAAAUUAACUCUAGAGAGCAGAAUGAUUUGGUGACGUAGUAAGAUGAGGUACCGAAUAGGGAAAGUCGAGGAGAAAAUAAGGGUUUACCAGUAUGGUUGUCGGCACGAUGAGUUGGGGUUCUUAGUGAAGGCAGACGAGAAGGGUUUGAGGCGGCGGUGUAGUAGUAAAGUCUCUGGUUGCUACACUGGAGAAGAC
rnacentral:lncRNA from 1 species